ensembl:lncRNA
CGGGUUUUAAUCAGAAUAGAACUUCCUCUGACAGAACGAGGAAAGGCUGGCGCUCAGGUUGGCCCCAUUGGCCAUGCAGGAUCCCACAUCCCCUCUCUGUGCCCCCAGGGUGGCUUUGUCAGCUUACCCAAGGGAUGCUGUCACCCUGGGGGUGGUGACAAAGGCUUUCGUCAGCCUCAGGCUGAGCAAAUUGGGGGCACAGGGGGAAGUGUGAGAGAGAGCAUCCCCAGAGCUGCAUCCCCUGUGCUCAGGGAUGGGCACACGCUGACAUCUCAGCCAGCUGCUCCCGCGUCCCAUCAGCAAAGUCCCCGUGCAAAUGAAAGCUCCUCGCUGUGGCGCUCAGGAAAUGGGCCUCAGCCUCAGCUCCAAAGCACCAGAACUCAUUCCAGGCGCGGAGGGAAACAUUUCCUUUCAUCUCAGGCCAGGAGUGGAAGCGGCCCUUUCGUCUCCCCCCCCCCCUCCCAUUCCCCCCCCCAGAUGGAGCUUUGAAGGCUGGCGGGGCCCUCCCACAUGUGCUGCUGGGGCUGUGAGCGGUGUCUGCUGCAGGACGGGGGGAGCAGAGGGUGGGGAGCAGCCCAGUGGGGCUCUGCCCUCGGAGGUGCCCAAAUGGGGCCGUGAUCCCACAGCCCACCCUCCCCCAGCCCCAUCUCCAGGCAUGGGGACAUCCAUGGGAUGGAGGGCAGUGGGACCACCGCAGGCAUCACUUGGCUGCUUGGGGUUUCUGUGGGCUCUUCUUCCCCAGCAGGAAGGUCGUUUGGGAUGGAGGUGGAGCGGCUGCCCUUCGCUCUGUGAUGCCUUCAGGGUUUGGGUUUUGGGAGGUUUUUGGAGUUUUGGGGGCUUUCUGCCCAAGGGCUGCGAGGAGGGCAAAGGGGUUUUACGUGGGCUGUAGGGACAGAGUUACAGAGAAGUGUUACAGGGUCAUGGAGUCUCCCAGGCUGGAAGGGACCCAUAGGGACCAUUGAGUCCACCUCCUGCCUGCUGGUGUAGGUGGGGUGGGGAAGGAUCCUCACCCUUCCCCCCUCCCCCCCAAAUUCUUCUUCUUUCCAACCCAUUUACUGAUAGCAGAGCAAUGGAGGGCGACGGCCACGUGGCAGUGGGAGGGUGCGCACCCCAUCCUCUCCCAUCCCACCCCAACUCAAGCUAAGGCGCUGCCCCACAUGGGCCACGGAGAGGACCCAGGACCUUCCCUCCAUCCCUGGCGCAGCUCUGGUUUGGCCCAGAGCUCGGAGGGAGGAGAUGCUGAGCACUGAGUCAGCUGUGAGCGCAAAGCCGCUCACAUAGAAAUAACUCCGCGUUCUUUGGGACGUGCAUCAGCAGCAUCACCCGACUGCCCCUCUGCUCUGCGCUUUGUGGCCUCAUCCCACCGGUGGGCUUUGGGAGAACAGCCUGAGGGAAGCCAUGCAACCGUGCUGCUUUUUCCAGAAGCAGAUGAAGCAAAUCCUCCCAUAAAUGCCUUCCUCAUUGCUGACUGCUCUGCUUUCCCACAGACGUUGAAGCCGAUGCAGGAGGACUGAAGCAGCGCGGAGCGUUGGGCAGGCAGUGUGUGCACGCAGACAGGAUGAAGCCACGACGCUCCCUACGGAACGAACCCCCUGCUUUGCAUCCCACGGCACCGUCUGAGGCCGCAGCAUCUCCUGCUGGAAGUGAUUCACUGCAGUGCACAGCGGGAUGGAGCUGAGCUCCCAGCUGUGCCUUUGGGGUCUGCGCUCUGUGAGUCACCAACAUCCAGUCCUGGUGCAAGGCUGGGGACAGCCGCUUACUGGGAGCACUGGGAUGGAGCUCUGUGCCACCACCUGAAAAGAGAAACCCGAGGCAAGGAGUUACAGGAUGGAAGGGUUUAUUGGGGGUUUGCUCCUGGCCAGGAGGUGUUUGCCAAAGUUUGCAGGGCUUGGAGCAUGGAGAUGUGCUGCUGUGGUGGCUGAAAGGAAAGUGAGGG